GAAAUGCGAUAACUAAUGUGAAUUGUAGAAUUCAGUGAAUCAUCGAGUCUUUGAACGCACAUUGCGCCCUCUGGUAUUCCGGAGGGCAUGCCUGUCCGAGCGUCAUUGCUGCCCUCAAGCCCGGCUUGUGUGUUGGGCCCCGUCCCCCCCGCCGGGGGGACGGGCCCGAAAGGCAGCGGCGGCACCGCGUCCGGUCCUCGAGCGUAUGGGGCUUCGUCACCCGCUCUAGUAGGCCCGGCCGGCGCCAGCCGACCCCCAACCUUUAAUUAUCUCAGGUUGACCUCGGAUCAGGUAGGGAUACCCGCUGAACUUAAGC
rnacentral:misc_RNA from 1 species